UACGUAGGGUCCGAGCGUUGUCCGGAAUUAUUGGGCGUAAAGGGCUCGUAGGCGGUCUGUCACGUCGGGAGUGAAAACUUACAGCUUAACUGUGAGCGUGCUUCCGAUACGGGCAGACUUGAGGUAUUCAGGGGAGAACGGAAUUCCUGGUGUAGCGGUGAAAUGCGCAGAUAUCAGGAGGAACACCGGUGGCGAAGGCGGUUCUCUGGGAAUAUCCUGACGCUGAGGAGCGAAAGUGUGGGGAGCGAACAGG
rnacentral:rRNA from 1 species